CAUCUUGGAGUUGGUGAUGUAUCGCCCCUCAGCCUCCUCGACGAUCAUGUGAACUUUGAGCAAGAGAUUCUGCAGCCUUUCCAUCUUUGUUUCAAGAUUUUGUUGGCUCCCACACUUCUUCAUCAAGAAGGAUAUGAAUCGGUUUUUGUUCUUUCAGUACUCAUCCACAUACAGACAUAUUCUGUGACAAGUGACCUUCCCAAGUGCAGCACUGCUUUCAGAUCUGCUACUAAAAGUGAAGGAGAUGGCAGCCUAUUGGCUCAUGAGCAGUAG
rnacentral:lncRNA from 1 species